CCCUACGGGGUGCAGCAGGCGCGAAAACUUUACAAUGCUGGCAACAGCGAUAAGGGAACCUCGAGUGCCAGGUUACAAAUCUGGCUGUCGAGAUGCCUAAAAAGCAUUUCAUAGCAAGGGCCGGGCAAGACCGGUGCCAGCCGCCGCGGUAACACCGGCGGCUCGAGUGGUAACCGUUAUUACCGCGGC
rnacentral:rRNA from 1 species